rnacentral:tRNA from 1 species
GCCCGAAUGGUGGAAUUGGUAGACACAAGGGAUUUAAAAUCCCUCGGCGCACGCGCUGUGCGAGUUCAAGUCUCGCUUCGGGCACCA